GGAGAGGUGGCCGAGUGGCUGAAGGCAACGGUUUGCUAAAUCGUCGUACGGGUUCUCCUCGUACCGCGGGUUCGAAUCCCGCCCUCUCCG
rnacentral:tRNA from 1 species